rnacentral:lncRNA from 1 species
CCCUCCAGGCUUGUCCAAGAAGACGGGGAGGUGGUGGGAGAGAAGAGGAAGAGAUGGAAGGGCUGUGAAAGCGGGGACCGGGUGAGGGCUGGGGCUGAGGAACAGGUGUCCGUUUCAAAGACAGCAGGGAAUGGCUGAGUUGAAGGAGGGAUGCAGUCAUUUAAGGCGAAGCCCGAGGAAGGAGCAGAGGCGUGAGGGCUGCUGCGUCCAAGACCGGGGAGAGGGGCUGAAAUCGCGGACUCUCUCUGGGGGACCCAGGAGACUGCUCCUCCUGGCAGGACCCCUCUCUCCCAGAGCGGCA